rnacentral:rRNA from 1 species
CCCGCUCAGAAACUCAAAGGAAUUGACGGGGGCCCGCACAAGCGGUGGAGUAUGUGGUUUAAUUCGAUGCAACGCGAAGAACCUUACCUGGUCUUGACAUCCCGGAGACCCUUAGGAAACUAGGGGGUGCUUCCAUCUGGAAGAAUCUGGAGACAGGUGCUGCAUGGCUGUCGUCAGCUCGUGCCGUGAGGUGUUGGGUUAAGUCCCGCAACGAGCGCAACCCUAUUGCCAGUUGCUACCAGGUAAUGCUGGGCACUCUGGUGAGACUGCCCCGGUUAACGGGGAGGAAGGUGGGGACGACGUCAAGUCAUCAUGGCCCUUACGCCUAGGGCUACACGCGUACUACAAUGGCGCAUACAAAGGGCAGCGAUACCGCGAGGUGGAGCCAAUCCCAAAAAGUGCGUCCCAGUCCGGAUUGCAGUCUGCAACUCGACUGCAUGAAGUUGGAAUCGCUAGUAAUUCGAGAUCAGCAUGCUCGGGUGAAUGCGUUCCCGGGCCUU